GACGAACGCUGGCGGCGUGCUUAACACAUGCAAGUCGAACGGAAAGGCCCUGCUUUUGUGGGGUGCUCGAGUGGCGAACGGGUGAGUAACACGUGAGUAACCUGCCCUUGACUUUGGGAUAACUUCAGGAAACUGGGGCUAAUACCGGAUAGGAGCUCCUGCUGCAUGGUGGGGGUUGGAAAGUUUCGGCGGUUGGGGAUGGACUCGCGGCUUAUCAGCUUGUUGGUGAGGUAGUGGCUUACCAAGGCUUCGACGGGUAGCCGGCCUGAGAGGGUGACCGGCCACAAUAGGACUGAGAGACGGCCCAGAAGCCUACGGGAGGCAGCAGGGGAGAAUAUUGCACAAUGGGCGGAAGCCUGAUGCAGCAGCGCCGCGUGCGGGAUGACGGCCUUCGGGUUGUAAACCGCUUUCGCCUGUGACGAAGCGUGAGUGACGGUAAUGGGUAAAGAAGCACCGGCUAACUACGUG
rnacentral:rRNA from 1 species